rnacentral:rRNA from 1 species
CGCCGGCGACCGGCGCACGGGUGAGUAACACGUAUGCAACCUGCCCUCUUCAGGGGGACAACCUUCCGAAAGGGAGGCUAAUCCCGCGUAUAUCGGUUUCGGGCAUCCGAGAUCGAAGGAAAGAUUCAUCGGAAGAGGAUGGGCAUGCGGCGCAUUAGCUAGACGGCGGGGUAACGGCCCACCGUGGCGACGAUGCGGUAGGGGUUCUGAGAGGAACGGUCCCCCACACUGGUACUGAGACACGGACCAGACUCCUACGGAAGGCAGCAG